CAUUGAAACACUGGUUCCUUACACAAUCACCAAAGUUAAGCAGCAUUGAGCCUGGUCAGUACCUAGAUGUGUGGCUGCCUGGGAAUACCAAGUUGCUGUAA